AUUGAACGCUGGCGGCAGGCCUAACACAUGCAAGUCGAACGGUAGCACAGAGAGCUUGCUCUCGGGUGACGAGUGGCGGACGGGUGAGUAAUGUCUGGGAAACUGCCCGAUGGAGGGGGAUAACUACUGGAAACGGUAGCUAAUACCGCAUAACGUCGCAAGACCAAAGUGGGGGACCUUCGGGCCUCACACCAUCGGAUGCGCCCAGAUGGGAUUAGCUAGUAGGUGGGGUAAUGGCUCACCUAGGCGACGAUCCCUAGCUGGUCUGAGAGGAUGAGCAGCCACACUGGAACUGAGACACGGUCCAGACUCCUACGGGAGGCAGCAGUGGGGAAUAUUGCACAAUGGGCGCAAGCCUGAUGCAGCCAUGCCGCGUGUAUGAAGAAGGCCUUCGGGUUGUAAAGUACUUUCAGCGGGGAGGAAGGCGGUGAAGUUAAUAACUUCACCGAUUGACGUUACCCGCAGAAGAAGCACCGGCUAACUCCGUGCCAGCCGCCGCCGUAA
rnacentral:rRNA from 1 species